AUUGAACGCUGGCGGCAGGCCUAACACAUGCAAGUCGAACGAGUGGCGGACGGGUGAGUAAUGUCUGGGAAACUGCCCGAUGGAGGGGGAUAACUACUGGAAACGGUAGCUAAUACCGCAUACCAUCGGAUGUGCCCAGAUGGGAUUAGCUAGUAGGUGGGGUAACAGCUCACCUAGGCGACGAUCCCUAUCUGGUCUGAUAGGAUGACCAGCCACACUGGAACUGAGACACGGUCCAGAAUCCUGCGGGAGGCAGCAGUGGGGAAUAUUGCACAAUGGGCGCAAUCCUGAUGCAGCCAUGCCGCGUGUAUGAAGAAGGCCUUCGGGUUGUAAAAGAAUUUCAGCGAAGAGGCGUUACUCGGAGAAGGAGCACCGGCUGACUCCGUGCCAGCAGCCGCGGUAAUAC
rnacentral:rRNA from 1 species